UAGUUACCCAGAUUAAAGGUGAAACAAAAUGUAUGAAAAAUGGACCUUAAGCUAUAACCUUAAGUAAAUUAUUAAAAGUAUCACUGUCUUUCACAUUGUUCGACAAUUUAUUAGACAGCUGUGCACCAGGGUCGUAGCUUAGCGGGGGGUGAGUGGUGGUGGGCUACCUUAAAAUACUAAUGCAAUACCUUAAUAAUCAACUAUAACAAACUAAACAUUUUCCAUUUCUUAUAACGAAGCCUAACAAACUAGAUGCUUUUUUUAAUUAUAUAUUCCAUAUGUGGAAUCCUCUAAUGAAUGAGUCCUCUAAAUUGCUCAGUAACAAUUUGACAUCGUCGGGAGAAUUAAUGGACUUCAGGAUCUUUAGGUCAUCAGCAAACAUGAAAGGUGUGGAAUGAUGCAAGCAAUUGAUAAUGUCAUUUAUGAACAUAUUAAAAAUAACAGUCCCAAAUGGGAGCCCUGUGGGCACCCCAGAAGCAAUAUGAUGGAAAUUGGAACUAAAACCAUUAAGAACCACAUGGUCAAAUUUGCAGCCCAAGUUUUUAGCCGGCAAGUGGCUACAUCACUAGAAAUCCAGAUGAAGUCUCUGCUAUCUCCAGGAUCAUGAUUACAUAAGUUUAAAUGAAGACAUUGGAAAUGGUUUGUUCACAGCAGAAAUUCUUCUUUUUAUAAAUAAUUUGUUUGAUAGUUUAAAUGGUUUUGGUCAUUAUGGGAAUAAGUUAAAACAUGCUCUUUCAUAUAAUUCGGAGCACAUUGCAUUCUGGAAUGAUGCUGUGAAAAAGCUAGCUUCAAUGCGCUUUGACGCUUCCAAUGAAAGGGAAAGGAAGCCUUUAUCACUGAAGCAUUUUGAACAUAAUAUAAAAACAAUAAAACAUUUGUGGUCAGAUCUGCUGAGAAUUGAUGGUGUUAAAUUUUUAAGUCUUAGACGUCUUAAUCAAGAUCCGAUAGAAAACUUUUUUGGUCAAAUAAGGGCACAUGGUAAUUUUAGUACAAAUCCUAAUUGUACUCAUUUUGUAUCGGCUUUUAAAACCUUGUUGAUUAACAACAUUACUACCGGUAAAUCUUUAUACACUAAUUGUUCUGAUGAUGAUGACAAAAUGUUGGGAACAUUAAAACAUUUAGUCAGCCACCAAAAAUAUGGUUCAUACACUGAUAGUCUUCAAUGUAAUGAAACUAACUUUAUAGAAAUUUCUAUACCUAACGAGAAUAUAUUCCAACAUAAGUCUGUACCAUAUAUUGCUGGUGCAGUUUGUCGUUUUGAUGUCCAAUUUGAACUGCAAAGAUUGUGAUAAUUGUACAAAAGCACUAUUAUCUCAGAGAGAGUCAUUUCACGAAUUAAUUAAUUUAAGAGAAUAUAGUUCCAAUGUAGAUAGGUUAUGUUAUCCUUCUAAUAAUUUUAGUCAAAUGGUCUGGCAGAGUAUUUACAUUAUUGACAAGAUGAUGCCAUUUCUUUGCAGUGUUUAUAUUUAUUCUGACUUAAUAAGUAAUUUAAUAAAAUAUAUUGACACUACUUGGUACAACUGUAAUAUUCACAAAACGGCUGUUAUUAAAGCUUUUUGGUCCUACAUAGUUAGAAUGCAAGUUAAGCAGUGGUGUAUUAAUUUUAAUAAUAGAAUGAAUAAUAUUGAUUCAAGGCCUAAAGAUAUAGAAAUGGAAACUCUAAUCCGUGAGAAAGUCACAAAAGGAUUGAGUUAUAGAUCACAAAGAAGGCGUAGUUCCUAAUCUCACUUAAUAAAAGUUCUUCAUAGUAUUUUGUCCACAAUUAUUACGAUUUUUGCAAAUGAAAUUGAUGUUUUUAAAGUGUAUUACCCACAUUUUGUGGUUUUAAAUUAGCUAUUAUGCUUUCUGUUUAUUGUAUAAAAUCAUAGUAGUUUUAAAAUAAUCUUCAUUAUGGUGACUGUUAAGCAAAUAGUUGUUAAAAUCUUAUAUACAUAAUUAUGCUUGUACAACCUAAAAUGAGCCUACCAGAUAAUUGUCAAGUAAAUAAAUUACAUUUCUACAAAAAGUAUUAUGUGUAUGUUUCCCCAAAUUGUUCAUAUUUUUAUUGAUUUACAUUGUGCAGAAUUAGUAAUUUUACCUUUAAUUUAAUAUUAUAUUUUCAUUAUAAUGUAUUCAACAUUUUCUGUAUUUUGUAGCAUUUUUAGUAGCAAAUGUGCCAUUAUAUGAUAUUGCAAAAUGUUAAAUUAUGCAUGGAAUGCUUUUCGUGAGAGAAUAAUCAUAUUCAAAUAAAUUCUUAGUUUUGUGUUGUUAGAUUAGUUAUUAUAUCUAAUGCAUAGUGUAUAAUAGUGAAUAGCUUAAGUAUGGCUCUUUAUAUUGUGUAAAAUUAUAGUGCUAGUCUUCACAAUUAUCUUAAUUUUGCUAACUGUUAAGCAAGCCGUUGUUAAAAUCUCAUAUGCAUAAUUAUGCUUGAACACGGGUAAAAUAAAAAUGUUUAUGUUUCCAAAAUAGUUCAUAUUUCUAUUCAUUUACUAUGUACAAAAAUAUUAAUUUUACCUUUUAUUUAAAAUCAUGUUUUCAAUAUAAAAUAUCUAACAUUUUUGUCCUUUGUAGUAAUUUUUCUUUCAAAUGUGCCACUAGUCAGUCAUUGUAUUGUCAUUAUUUUUAAUUUUAUGUAAAUUGUUACUGUUAAAUUUAUAUGCAAUCCAAUUUUGUUUCUUGUAAGUUAUUGUUGAUUUAUAUGACAAAAUAUUAAUAAGUGGAAGACAACCAACAAAUCAUGUUGUUGCAUUUGCCUUUAUAAUAUUGAAUUGUAAUGAUGAAAAUUAAAAUUAUGUUGGUAAAUGUAAGCGGCUGAAUGGUGUGCACUAUUUAUGUAUUUGCUUUAUGCCAGUCCAUGUUUUUAAUCCGUGCACCACCUUAUAUAAGCUAUGUGACUACUUUGUAUACAACAUCUAUAAAAAAUAUUUGGUAAUUGAUGACAAAAAAAUAAGCCCGGAGUUUCUUUCUGCCUUUCUUCUUCGGGUAGUCAUCUCUUAGGUAGCUAGUGAAAGGCUGGUGGAUUAGCUAGGUAGGGGCCUAUAUUGUAUUCUUCGACGGCGAAGAUCGUGAUGCAUUCCUUUUAUUUUAUUAAGAUUAUAUCAUAUACCUUUUGUCCUGUCGGCCCGAGCUGACUUCUUUCGUUUUUUUAUCCUUUAUAUAUCAAUUAUUUUUUAAAUUUUAGCGUCUGUAGUGACUCAGUGGUUUGUUCAUUAAUUUAUUUGAUUUGUUUUAAACGUAUCAUAAGUACAGCAAUAACUUUGUUUACCUAUAUUUUAUUUUAUUGAACAGAAAAUGCAAUUAUACGGGCUGCAAUUUUAAGUAAAAAUUAUUUUCGCUGGCUAUCGGUAGAUUCUGAAAUUAUGGUAAAUUGGGCGUGAAAAGUAAUGAAAACAUUACUAAUAAAUCUUUAUAUUUAGAUAAGAAAA